UUCCGGUUGAUCCCGCCGGAGAUCACUGCUAUUGGAAUUCGGCUAAGGCAUGCGAGUCGAGAGGGUUCGGCCCUCGGCAGACGGCUCAGUAACACGUGGACAAUCUGCCCUUAGGUGGGGGAUAAUCUCGAGAAAUUGAGCAUAAUACCCCAUAGUUCUAGAUUGCUGGAAUGCUUCUAGAAUCAAAGCCCCGGCGCCUAAGGAUGAGUCUGCGGCCUAUCAGGUUGUAGUGAGUGUAACGGACUCACUAGCCGACGACGGGUACGGGUCCUGGAAGGGAGUGCCCGGAGAUGGACUCUGAGACACGAGUCCAGGCCCUACGGGGCGCAGCAGCUACGAAAACUUCACAAUGCGGGAAACCGCGAUGAGGGAAUUCCAAGUGCUAAUACUUUGUAUUAGCUGUUUACUUGCCUAAAAAGCAGGUAGAGUAAGGGCUGGAUAAGACUGGUGCCAGCCGCCGCGGUAAUACCAGCAGCUCAAGUGGUGAUCGUUAUUAUUGGGCCUAAAGCGUCCGUAGCCGGUUUGGUAAACCCUUGGGUAAAUCGAGCAGCUUAACUGUUCGACUUCUGAGGAGACUGCCAGACUUGGGACCGGGAGAGGUCAGAGGUACUCUUGGGGUAGGGGUGAAAUCCUGUAAUCCUAAGAGGACCACCAGUGGCGAAGGCGUCUGACUAGAACGGGUCCGACGGUAAGGGACGAAGCCCUGGGUCACGAACCGGAUUAGAUACCCGGGUAGUCCAGGGUGUAAACGCUGCGGGCUUGGUGUUGGGGGUCCUACGAGGGCGUCCAGUGCCGGAGAGAAGUUGUUAAGCCCGCCGCCUGGGGAGUACGAUCGCAAGAUUGAAACUUAAAGGAAUUGGCGGGGGAGCACAGCAACGGGUGGAGCGUGCGGUUUAAUUGGAUUCAACGCCGGG
rnacentral:rRNA from 1 species